UCCCCACCCUGAACAUGCCCGAUCUGGUCUGGUCUCGGAAGCUAAGCAGGGUCGGGCCAGGUUCAUACUUGGAAGGGAGCUGGCUAGCCUUCCUGUGCUUGCUAGGCCUUCCUGGCUCGCAGGUGGAC
rnacentral:rRNA from 1 species